GUAGGUGGCAAGCGUUGCCCGGAAUUAUUGGGCGUAAAGCGCGCGCAGGUGGUUCUUUAAGUCUGAUGUGAAAGCCCCCGGCUCAACCGGGGAGGGUCAUUGGAAACUGGGGAACUUGAGUGCAGGAGAGGAAAGUGGAAUUCCACGUGUAGCGGUGAAAUGCGUAGAUAUGUGGAGGAACACCAGUGGCGAAGGCGACUUUCUGGCCUGUAACUGACACUGAGGCGCGAAAGCGUGGGGAGCAAACAGGGAUUAGAUACCCUGGUAGUCCACGCCGUAAACGAUGAGUGCUAAGUGUUGGGGGGGUUUCCCGCCCCUCAGUGCUGCAGCUAACGCAUUAAGCACUCCGCCUGGGGAUACGGUCGCAAGACUG
rnacentral:rRNA from 1 species